rnacentral:misc_RNA from 1 species
UUUCUUGAUUUUCAGCCCCCUCUUCCUCUUUUCCACUUGCCAGAGUCCAUUUUUGCUAGAGAAAUCUCAAAAAUCCAGCCAGCAUCUUCCUCUUUCCCUUCGUCUUCUUCUCCUUCUCCUUCUCCUCCUGAUUUUCAACAGCAUGCUUUUUUGUAUCCUGAUGGUUGCUCUACAUCGUCUGCCUUUCCAUUUUCAACCGGGUUCUCGAUGCAUGACCCCACUGGUUUUCAGCAACCUAGUUCAAUCGGGCUUAGUCACCUUACUCCUUCCCAGAUUCAUCAGAUCCAGACUCAGGUUCACCUACAGAACCAAAAUAGUUUCCCUUUUCAGAAUUACCAGAAUCAGAAUCAACAUACCCUCAAUUUUUUAGGUCCCAAAUCCAUCCCCAUGAAGCAAGUAGGCUCACGAAAACCCACCAAACUCUACAGAGGAGUAAGGCAGCGACAUUGGGGUAAAUGGGUGGCCGAGAUUAGACUUCCCAAGAACCGUACCCGACUCUGGCUCGGUACUUUCGACACAGCCGAGGAGGCGGCCUUAGCUUAUGACAAGGCAGCUUACAAGCUCCGAGGUGACUUCGCAAGGCUUAACUUCCCCACCUUACGCCACCAAGGGUCCCACAUCGAAGGCAAGUUUGGCGAAUACAAGCCUCUCCAUUCCUCAGUUGAUGCGAAGCUGCAAGCUAUCUGUCAAAGCUUAGCGGAAUCGCAGAAACAAGGAGGAAAAGCUGAGAAGCAAUCUCCGAACAAGAAGAAAGCCCAGGUGGGGACCACUCCGGUGAUAGCAGCGGCUAAGGAAGACGAGUCACGGCAGGAAGUUACUCCGGUUAAGUGUAGCAAGGUUGAGACACCUUCCUCCGUGUUGACACAGAGCGAAGGGUCAGGCGGAUCUUCUCCUUUGUCAGAUCUCACGUUUCUGGAUUUGGAAGAGGCACCGUUGGAUGUUGAUUCUGGAAAUUUCAAUUUGCAGAAGUGCCCAUCUUAUGAAAUUGAUUGGGCUUCUCUUCUAUCCUAGAUUAGUGAUGUUAUCUGUUAUCUUUGUUUUUGUUUUCUCUGACGUCUUAGGUUUAGGUAUUUGGUGGCUGCAAUGAAGUUUUUGGCAGUUGCAGUGCCAGGGCAUAAGUGUUCAAUGUCUGUAGUAUUAUUAGGGUAAAUAAGGUUGAUGUUCAUGUGAAUCUAUCUGCCUCCAUGGUUAGCUGUUCUUUUUAUCUCUGGCUUAGCCAUGGAGAAUUUGUACUUGUUGGUGUUCAUAUUAGUAUUGUAAUAGUAUUCUAUUGCUAGAAACUUCUUUAUUAUAUUUUCAAUGUAUAAUUCGACUUUUCCUUCUGCUGGUAUGUUUAAAAAAAAGGUAUGUGUAAUUGCUUCUUGGAUAUUGUUAUGAUAAUUUAUGAAGAUCUGAAAAUUGCUCAACACUUGAAUAGGAAAAUAA